rnacentral:rRNA from 1 species
CUAGCGACUUCAGAGUUUGAUCCUGGCUCAGGACGAACGCUGGCGGCGUGCUUAACACAUGCAAGUCGAGCGGGGAUUGUGGAAGUCUUCGGACAGAAGCAAUUCUAGCGGCGGACGGGUGAGUAACGCGUGAACAAUCUGUCCUACACAGGGGGAUAACGGAUGGAAACAUCCGCUAAUACCGCAUAAGACCACGGGAUCACAUGUUUCUGGGGUAAAAGAUUUAUCGGUGUAGGGUGAGUUCGCGUCCGAUUAGCUAGUUGGUGAGGUAACGGCCCACCAAGGCGACGAUCGGUAGCCGACCUGAGAGGGUGAUCGGCCACAUUGGAACUGAGACACGGUCCAA